UACGUAGGGGGCAAGCGUUGUCCGGAAUCAUUGGGCGUAAAGCGCGUGUAGGCGGCCAGAAAAGUCCGCUGUGAAAACUCGAGGCUCAACUUCGAGCUGUCGGUGGAAACUUUCUGGCUAGAGUCCGGAAGAGGAGAAUGGAAUUCCUGGUGUAGCGGUGAAAUGCGCAGAUAUCAGGAGGAACACCGGUGGCGAAGGCGGUUCUCUGGGCCUGUACUGACGCUGGAGGAACGAAAGCGUGGGGAGCGAACAGG
rnacentral:rRNA from 1 species